rfam:Candidatus Magnetoglobus multicellularis str. Araruama Cont3169, whole genome shotgun sequence.
CCUGGGGUUGAAACCCCAGGCUAUUUCAUGCCGUCCCUUCGGGACU